UCUACCAUGCAGUCGAACGAUGAUGCCAGCUUGCUGGGUGGAUUAGUGGCGAACGGGUGAGUAACACGUGAGUAACCUGCCCCUGACUCUGGGAUAAGCGUUGGAAACGACGUCUAAUACUGGAUAUGACUGCCGGCCGCAUGGUCUGGUGGUGGAAAGAUUUUUUGGUUGGGGAUGGACUCGCGGCCUAUCAGCUUGUUGGUGAGGUAAUGGCUCACCAAGGCGACGACGGGUAGCCGGCCUGAGAGGGUGACCGGCCACACUGGGACUGAGACACGGCCCAGACUCCUACGGGAGGCAGCAGUGGGGAAUAUUGCACAAUGGGCGAAAGCCUGAUGCAGCAACGCCGCGUGAGGGAUGACGGCCUUCGGGUUGUAAACCUCUUUUAGUAGGGAAGAAGCGAAAGUGACGGUACCUGCAGAAAAAGCACCGGCUAACUACGUGCCAGCAGCCGCGGUAAUACGUAGGGUGCAAGCGUUGUCCGGAAUUAUUGGGCGUAAAGAGCUCGUAGGCGGUUUGUCGCGUCUGCUGUGAAAUCCCGAGGCUCAACCUCGGGCUUGCAGUGGGUACGGGCAGACUAGAGUGCGGUAGGGGAGAUUGGAAUUCCUGGUGUAGCGGUGGAAUGCACAGAUAUCAGGAGGAACACCGAUGGCGAAGGCAGAUCUCUGGGCCGUAACUGACGCUGAGGAGCGAAAGCGUGGGGAGCGAACAGGAUUAGAUACCCUGGUAGUCCACGCCGUAAACGUUGGGCGCUAGAUGUAGGGACCUUUCCACGGUUUCUGUGUCGUAGCUAACGCAUUAAGCGCCCCGCCUGGGGAGUACGGCCGCAAGGCUAAAACUCAAAGGAAUUGACGGGGGCCCGCACAAGCGGCGGAGCAUGCGGAUUAAUUCGAUGCAACGCGAAGAACCUUACCAAGGCUUGACAUACACCGGAAACGGCCAGAGAUGGUCGCCCCCUUGUGGUCGGUGUACAGGUGGUGCAUGGUUGUCGUCAGCUCGUGUCGUGAGAUGUUGGGUUAAGUCCCGCAACGAGCGCAACCCUCGUUCUAUGUUGCCAGCGCGUUAUGGCGGGGACUCAUAGGAGACUGCCGGGGUCAACUCGGAGGAAGGUGGGGAUGACGUCAAAUCAUCAUGCCCCUUAUGUCUUGGGCUUCACGCAUGCUACAAUGGCCGGUACAAAGGGCUGCGAUACCGUAAGGUGGAGCGAAUCCCAAAAAGCCGGUCUCAGUUCGGAUUGAGGUCUGCAACUCGACCUCAUGAAGUCGGAGUCGCUAGUAAUCGCAGAUCAGCAACGCUGCGGUGAAUACGUUCCCGGGCCUUGUACACACCGCCCGUCAAGUCAUGAAAGUCGGUAACACCCGAAGCCGGU
rnacentral:rRNA from 1 species